rnacentral:rRNA from 1 species
GAUGAACGCUAGCGGCAGGCUUAAUACAUGCAAGUCGAGGGACAGCACAGGUAGCAAUACUGGGUGGUAACCGGCAAACGGGUGCGGAACACGUACACAACCUUCCUUUAAGUGGGGGAUAGCCCAGAGAAAUUUGGAUUAAUACCCCGUAAUAUAGUUGAAUGGCAUCAUUUGAUUAUUAUAGCUACGGCGCUUAAUGAUGGGUGUGCGGCUGAUUAGAUAGUUGGCGGGGUAACGGCCCACCAAGUCUAAGAUCAGUAGCUGAUGUGAGAGCAAGAUCAGCCAAACGGGAACUGAGACACGGGCCCGACUCCUACGGGAGGCAGCAGUAAGGAAUAUUGGUCAAUGGACGAAAGUCUGAACCAGCCAUGCCGCGUGAAGGAUUAAGGUCCUCUGGAUUGUAAACUUCUUUUAUUUGGGACGAAAAAGGGCCUUUCUAGGUCAACUGACGGUACCAGAUGAAUAAGCACCGGCUAACUCCGUGCCAGCCGCCGCGGUAACAC